rnacentral:rRNA from 1 species
UGUGGUGGCGAUAGCAAGAAGGAUACACCUGUUCCCAUGCCGAACACAGAAGUUAAGCUUCUUCACGCCGAGAGUAGUUGGUG